GCUUGGUGAGCACACCUUGCAGCUCUUUGUUGUUGUGAGGAUCUGACCCUGCCGGCGACACGCUCUGGCUUGGAGUAGACGAGAGAUAUUGGAUCUCUGCAGCCUAUGGGCAGAAGAGGCUGAGCAAGCACAGCUACAGACCAGCCAUAGAAUUGUGGACAUCUACCAGCAGAUUGCAUGGGGGAUGCAAAAGGGGUAUGACAGGGACCAGCAGAAGUGACGCGUGAGUUGAAGGAAUUGCGUCAGGCAUAUCAGAAGGCCAGAGAGGCCAACACUGCAGUCAAUUCAGUGCCGAGCCACAGACCUGAAGCUUUUACAAAAGGCUGCAUGCCAUGUUUGGUGGAGACCCCACCUCCACCCUGCAGACCACAAUGAAUACCACAGCCUCCUGGCAUGAACCAUGAGAAAAUGGAGGAAGAGGAUGUGUGACAUGCAACCAAGGGGUCCAGCUAUGCCAUUAGCCAGAACCUGUUUGAGACUCUACCACAGUCCAGUCAAUCCAAGCAGCAAAGCAUGGUUAGCCCAAGGAAGCUCAGGACCUAGAAUGAGAUCACCCGAACAUUUUAUAGAGGACCCAAGCAGGCGAUAACUAAUGUUGAUCAUUAAAUCAAAGCUGGAUUUGACUUGGUGACCUAGAGAGACUGUCUGGUUUGGCCAAUGUACAUGGCAGAGGGGCAUUGCUGGCACUGGUCAGUGUGUGUUAUGAGAUGCCAUCUGUGCGUGUGUGUAACAGAAAAUAUGUUACAGCCCUCAUCUACAGCACCUAGCUCAAGUUGCCAAGACUCCUGCUUUCAGCUCUGGAGAUCCCUGGACCAAUCUCUAGGUUGGUGAAGAUGGCAGCCAUCACACAAGCAGUAUGCUGUAGGUGUCCCUGUAGCAGGACCCACUCCAGUGUGGACAUGAGUUGGCUGCAACCGAGAUCUGUGUGAUGAAACAUACCAGUGUUCAAUCCU